GAUGAACGCUAGCGGCAGGCUUAACACAUGCAAGUCGAGGGGCAGCGAGGGUAAUAGCAAUAUUACCUGUCGGCGACCGGCGCACGGGUGCGUAACGCGUAUGCAACCUACCAUCAACAGGGGGAUAACACUGAGAAAUUGGUACUAAUACCCCAUAAUAUCUCAUGCGGCAUCGCAUGGGGUUGAAAACUCCGGUGGUUGAUGAUGGGCAUGCGUUGUAUUAGCUGGUUGGUGAGGUAACGGCUCACCAAGGCGACGAUACAUAGGGGGACUGAGAGGUUAACCCCCCACAUUGGUACUGAGACACGGACCAAACUCCUACGGGAGGCAGCAGUGAGGAAUAUUGGUCAAUGGACGCAAGUCUGAACCAGCCAUGCCGCGUGCAGGAUGACGGCUCUAUGAGUUGUAAACUGCUUUUGUACGAGGGUAAACCCCGAUACGUGUAUUGGGUUGAAAGUAUCGUACGAAUAAGGAUCGGCUAACUCCGUGCCAGCAGCCGCGGUAAUACGGAGGAUCCGAGCGUUAUCCGGAUUUAUUGGGUUUAAAGGGUGCGUAGGCGGUUUGAUAAGUUAGAGGUGAAAUGUCGGGGCUCAACCCCGAAACUGCCUCUAAUACUGUUGGACUAGAGAAUAGUUGCGGUAGGCGGAAUGUAUGGUGUAGCGGUGAAAUGCUUAGAGAUCAUACAGAACACCGAUUGCGAAGGCAGCUUACCAAACUAUAUCUGACGUUGAGGCACGAAAGCGUGGGUAGCAAACAGGAUUAGAUACCCUGGUAGUCCACGCAGUAAACGAUGAUAACUCGUUGUCGGCGAUACACAGUCGGUGACUAAGCGAAAGCGAUAAGUUAUCCACCUGGGGAGUACGUUCGCAAGAAUGAAACUCAAAGGAAUUGACGGGGGCCCGCACAAGCGGAGGAACAUGUGGUUUAAUUCGAUGAUACGCGAGGAACCUUACCCGGGCUUGAAAGUUAGCGACGACGCUUGAAAGAGCGUUUCCCUUCGGGGCGCGAAACUAGGUGCUGCAUGGUUGUCGUCAGCUCGUGCCGUGAGGUGUCGGGUUAAGUCCCAUAACGAGCGCAACCCCUACUGUUAGUUGCCAUCAGGUGAUGCUGGGCACUCUAGCGGGACUGCCGGUGUAAGCCGAGAGGAAGGUGGGGAUGACGUCAAAUCAGCACGGCCCUUACGUCCGGGGCCACACACGUGUUACAAUGGUAGGUACAGAGGGCAGCUACCCUGCGAAGGGGUGCGAAUCUCGAAAGCCUAUCUCAGUUCGGAUUGGAGGCUGAAACCCGCCUCCAUGAAGUUGGAUUCGCUAGUAAUCGCGCAUCAGCCAUGGCGCGGUG
rnacentral:rRNA from 1 species